rnacentral:rRNA from 1 species
CCCUUAGAUGUUCUGGGCUGCACGCGCGCUACACUGGUCGAUGCAACGAGUUUCUUUCCUUGGCCGACAGGCCUGGGCAAUCUUUGAACAUCGAUCGUGAUCGGGAUAGAUUCUUGUAAUUUUUGAUCUUAAACGAGGAAUUCCUAGUAAACGCAAGUCAUCAGCUUGCAUUGAUUACGUCCCUGCCCUUUGUACACACCGCCCGUCGCACCUACCGAUUGAAUGGUCCGGUGAAAUCUCCGGACUGGCGUGAGUCGGAGCAAUCUGACAAACGCCGGAAAGUUGAUUAAACCUUACCAUUUAGAGGAAGGUGAAGUCGUAACA